rfam:Triticum aestivum genome assembly, contig: Triticum_aestivum_CS42_TGACv1_scaffold_062493_1DL
AUGGUACUCCGGUCGAUCCAUAUUGCUUGUCUUAGAUUUGUCUAGAUACAGAUGUACCUAGACAUGUUAGACACAUCCGUAUCUAGACAAAUUUAAAACAAGUAAUAUGGAUCGGAGGGAGUACAAA